CCUACGGGAGGCUGCAGUGAGGAAUAUUGGUCAAUGGGCGGAAGCCUGAACCAGCCAAGUCGCGUGAGGGAUUCAUGCCCUGCGGGUCGUAAACCUCUUUUGCCGGGGAGCAGUGGUCCGGACGCGUCCGGACCGGGAGAGUACCCGGAGAAAAAGCAUCGGCUAACUCCGUGCCAGCAGCCGCGGUAAUACGGAGGAUGCGAGCGUUAUCCGGAUUUAUUGGGUGUAAGGGGGGCCCAGACGGCAAUGAAAGCCAGAAGUGAAAGCCCGGGGCCCAACCCCGGGACUGCUCUUGGAACUGCAUGGAUGGAGGACAGGAGGGGCAGGCGGAAGUCCUAGUGUAGCGGUGAAAUGCGUAGAUAUUAGGAGGAACACCGGUGGCGAAGGCGGCCUGCUGGACUGUGACUGACGUUGAGGCCCGAAGGCGUGGGGAGCAAACAGGAUUAGAUACCCCUGUAGUC
rnacentral:rRNA from 1 species